rnacentral:rRNA from 1 species
AGUGAACGCUGGCGGUAGGCCUAACACAUGCAAGUCGAACGGCAGCACAGUAAUAGCUUGCUCUUACGGGUGGCGAGUGGCGGACGGGUGAGGAAUACAUCGGAAUCUACUUUUUCGUGGGGGAUAACGUAGGGAAACUUACGCUAAUACCGCAUACGACCUACGGGUGAAAGCAGGGGAUCUUCGGACCUUGCGCGAUUGAAUGAGCCGAUGUCGUAUUAGCUAGUUGGCGGGGUAAAGGCCCACCAAGGCGACGAUCCGUAGCUGGUGUGAGAGGAGGAUCACCCACACUGGAACUGAGACACGGUCCAGACUCCUACGGGAGGCAGCAGUGGGGAAUAGUGGACAAUGGGCGGAAGCCUGAUCCAGCCAUACCGCGUGGGUGAAGAAGGCCUUCGGGUUGUAAAGCCCUUUUGUUGGGAAAAAAAAGCAGCAGGUUAAUACCCCGCUGUUCUGACGGUACCCAAAGAAUAAGCACCGGCUAACUUCGUG